rnacentral:rRNA from 1 species
UACGGAGGGAGCUAGCGUUGUUUGGAAUUACUGGGCGUAAAGCGCACGUAGGCGGCUUUGUAAGUUAGAGGUGAAAGCCCGGGGCUCAACCCCGGAAUUGCCUUUAAGACUGCAUCGCUUGAAUCCGGGAGAGGUGAGUGGAAUUCCGAGUGUAGAGGUGAAAUUCGUAGAUAUUCGGAAGAACACCGGUGGCGAAGGCGGCUCACUGGCUCAUUACUGACGCUCAGGCGCGACAGCGUGGGGAUCAAACAGGAUA